CUUGAUAACAUAAGAGGUCCAGCCUGCCCAGUGACUCAAUUCAACGGCCGCGGUAUCCUAACCGUGCAAAGGUAGCGUAAUCACUUGUCUUCUAAAUAAAGACUAGUAUGAAAGGCACCACGAGAACUAAACUGUCUCCUUUUUCUAAUCAGUGAACCUAAUCUCCCUGUGAAAAAGCAGGGAUUUAAUAAUAAGACGAGAAGACCCUAUGGAGCUUUAAACACAUAACACUGCCCUUUUACACCACAAUGUUCCAUGCACAAUGAUUAAGAGUUUUUAGUUGGGGUGACUACGGAGUAAGCCCACCCUCCGCGAUGAAUCUUAAACAAGCGACAGCUUUAUACAUCAGCAAACUGAUACCAUUGACCCAAUUUAUUGAUCAACGAAC
rnacentral:rRNA from 1 species